rnacentral:rRNA from 1 species
UACAGAGGUCCCAAGCGUUGUUCGGAUUCAUUGGGCGUAAAGGGUGUGUAGGUGGCGCCGUAAGUCGGGUGUGAAAUCUCGGGGCUUAACUCCGAAACUGCAUUCGAUACUGCGGUGCUUGAGGACUGGAGAGGAGACUGGAAUUCAUGGUGUAGCAGUGAAAAUGCGUAGAGAUCAUGAGGAAGACCAGUGGCGAAAGGCGGGUCUCUGGACAGUUCCUGACACUGAGACACGAAGGCCAGGGGAGCAAACGGG